rnacentral:rRNA from 1 species
GACGAACGCUGGCGGCGUGCUUAACACAUGCAAGUCGAACGGUAAGGCCCUUCGGGGUACACGAGUGGCGAACGGGUGAGUAACACGUGGGUGAUCUGCCCUGCACUUCGGGAUAAGCCUGGGAAACUGGGUCUAAUACCGGAUAGGACCACUGCCUGCAUGGGUGGUGGUGGAAAGCUUUUGCGGUGUGGGAUGGGCCCGCGGCCUAUCAGCUUGUUGGUGGGGUGAUGGCCUACCAAGGCGACGACGGGUACCCGGCCUGAGAGGGUGACCGGCCAAACUGGGACUGAGAUACGGCCCAGACUCCUACGGGAGGCAGCAGUGGGGAAUAUUGCACAAUGGGCGCAAGCCUGAUGCAGCGACGCCGCGUGAGGGGUGACGGCCUUCGGGUUGUAAACCUCUUUCAGCACCGACGAAGCGCAAGUGACGGUAGGUGCAGAAGAAGGACCGGCCAACUACGUGCCAGCCGCCGCCGUAA